rnacentral:ribozyme from 1 species
AAGAGAAUGAAAAGAAGGAAAAGAACAAAGAGAAAUGAAAGGGCAAGUGAAACGCGCGCCGUUCAUUUUUCUUUGCUCUUUUUGCUUCUUUCAUUCAGUUCUUGGGUUCUUUUCCUCUUUUCUCUUUUCCCUUUUGGUUCGUGCUUUCAUUACAACACAAAAGGCAAAAGAAGAAAAGGGAAAAGGACCUAAGAACCCUUGACUGGCCUGGAUUGUUCUGUGGUGUGUUGUGUGGUGGCUGAAGAGAAAAGAAACGGGCAAAGAAAUGAAAUGAAUGCGCGCCGUUCUUUUU